AAAUCUAAUACAACUUUCAACAACGGAUCUCUUGGCUCUCGCAUCGAUGAAGAACGCAGCGAAAUGCGAUAAGUAAUGUGAAUUGCAGAAUUCAGUGAAUCAUCGAAUCUUUGAACGCACCUUGCGCUCCUUGGUAUUCCGAGGAGCAUGCCUGUUUGAGUGUCAUGAA
rnacentral:rRNA from 5 species